AGUGAACGCUGGCGGCAGGCCUAACACAUGCAAGUCGAACGAGUGGCGGACGGGUGAGGAAUGCAUGGGAAACUGCUCGAUGGUGGGGGAUAACGACGGGAAACGGACGCUAAUACCGCAUAAGAAUGGAUGAGCCGAUGUGGGAUUAGCUAGUUGGCGGGGUAAAGGCCCACCAAGGCGACGAUCCGUAGCUGGUCUGAGAGGAUGACCAGCCACACUGGAACUGAGACACGGUCCAGACUCCUACGGGAGGCAGCAGUGGGGAAUAUUGGACAAUGGGCGCAAGCCUGAUGCAGCCAUGCCGCGUGUGUGAAGAAGGCCUUCGGGUUGUAAAGCCCUUUUGUUGGGAAAGCGUUACUCAAAGAAUAAGCACCGGCUAACUCCGUGCCAGCAGCCGCGGUAAUAC
rnacentral:rRNA from 1 species